AAAAGAACUCUGAAUAGAGAGUUAAAUAGUACGUGAAACUGCUUAGAGAUUAAGCCCGAUGAACCUGAAUAUCCAUUAUAAAAAAUUCAUCAUCAUUGAAUUUAUAUAGUUAUAUAUUUAUAUAAUGGUGUGCAUUUUUUUUAUAUAAGGACAUUGUAAUCUAUUAAUAUAUAAUUUAUUUAUUAUAAGAUCAAUAUGUAAUGUUUAUUUUAGUUAUAUUAUCAUUUGAUAAUAAUAUUUAAUAAAUACAAUUGAUUUAAUAAAGUGUUGAUAGAUUUAAUCAAAUGUAUGAUGCAAAAAUUUUAUUAUUAUAAAAUUUUAUAAUAUAUAUUUCAUAUGUUAUAAGCAUUUAUACGAUUAACAAUGCGAAAGAUUCAGGAUACCUUCGGGAC
rnacentral:rRNA from 1 species